rnacentral:lncRNA from 1 species
GGGGUACACUAUGCUGAUAUUCACAGCUUUUUGGGCAGGUGGAAGGGAGCGGAAACGUUGGAUAGCUUGCUGCUGAAGUCACUGCUGUCAGCUGCAGCAGUAGCAGGAGGAACUCCACAGGCUCCAUUAAUUCUUUCAAUUCCCUCGCUCUAUCACAAAAAUCAUGUCAUUGCUUAUCAAACCAAAGGAUGAUUCAAAGAACAUGUAGAUGAUUAGUUAAAGCCACCUGCCAAAAUUAACUUGUUUCUCCGACUCUUAUGAGAAAGCGCAUCCACACCUGGCUGCUACCCGAAAUAUGUGACAC